rnacentral:lncRNA from 1 species
CACAAACACGAUGCACAACCUCUAAGAAAGCAAAGCUUCCACAAGGUGAUACUGUACCAUCACUCUUCAAGUAAGGUAACAUCUUAAGGUACUUGACUAUCACUUUUAUAAGCUUCUCCUUGGUUCUAGUGUUGAUAUGAAUAAAAGAGACAAACAUGUAUGAUUUACAACUCUAGGUUAACCAACCCAAUCGAUUCAAUAUGUUUAGUCCUUCCACCUUUGUGAUCCCACACUCCUAAUCAUAUGAGCUAAAAUGUUGCACACUCAAUCUUUGGAAGAUAUAUAAAAAAACAUAAGUAUAGAUAGAUUAUCUUUCCAUUAGGUUGAGCGAUCUGAUCUGACAAAUGUUUUUAAUACUACACUCAUGAUCUUAUUAUCCAUCAAAUUUUUCUUGCUCACUAUGCUUAAGGUUAGAGAAGAACAAAUACACUUUUGGUUCUGUUGGUGUUUUCCACCAGCAGGGCCCAUGCACUUGAUCUCUGCCUUCUCUAUGAGCAGGUACACUAGGAGCAAAACAUAGUGGAGUUUUACAACUCCCAGAUUCCACCAAGUGAAGGACCUAGAUCUACAAGCACAAACACACUGAGCAAGAUGCUGCCAACGCCGCACUUCGAACUGCUGGGGAAACGAAGAACAUGGGUGACACUGUAUCAAGAUGUGCAGACAUCAAGGUCCACACCUGAAUCAAAUGACGCACCUAAAGAAUAAACACAGUGAGAAGUCUUGUUCAGAAGCUUAAAACAUUGAACCCUCGCCGAAAGGUAAAAUCGGUAGUUAUCCAUAUUUAUCCUUUCUGCAUUCCCUUUUCCCUUAAAUUAUUUACUUUCCUUAAAUGGCUUGUUAGUUAAUCAUGCCAUCUUGAAAAGAAAAUAAAAAUGUUAAAAAUAGUAAGCCCCAUGUGAGUAUGCUCGUGGCAUAAAACCCAUAAGUACAUUCACUGUGGUGGCGUAAAAAAUAAAAUAAAAAUAUUCCUGUCCUAUAAAAAUGAAAAUAUAAAAAUAAAUUUAUGAUCCUACCAAAGAGAGUAAAUAUUUAUUAGAGGAAGCUCAACGGCUAAGAGAUUUUAUGCUAACACUUAACCAGUUCCACAAAGCUUUGUUGUCUAUUUGAGCUCUACAGAAUUCAAGGAUCAAAGAAGACUAGCAGACGGAGGACAUCCUAAUAGCUGUCAAGGUGCUGCCGACAUUCAAAUAUACCUCCGCCACCUGCUAGCUACAUCAGAAAAAAUUACGUCAAAAUCCAGCUUGGGGGAGAGCACCCCCAUUUAUCCAGCUAAGUGUUUCUACUCGCGUUUAUACUUUACUCAAAUAAUAAAAAGAUGCAUAAUCAUAAAAACUCAAAUAAAGAUUUUGUGCUUAUAUAUAUAUCUUUGCUUAGUUUGCUAAAUAAAUAAAUAAAUAAAGUUUGCUAUGAACUCUCAAGAUAAGCUCUCACAUGGAAAUGAUGAAUAGUUUCUCUACCAUGACUAGUUCUCAAAAUUGAAAUCUCUCUCAAUUUUAGGCAUGACUGUUAUGAAUUAAGAUUUGCUCUAAACCUAAACUUGUGGGAAGAGUACUUGAUCUAACGUCUAAGUCGUUAAUGGAUACGAUAUGGGAAGGUUGAGCUGCUGUUUAUCUGUUCCUAGAGAUGCUAGAAUUAUGGAGAAUUUUAUCUUUGAAAAUCUUUAAAAUGUUGCAUGAUGAGUUUCUGUAUGAUGAGAGUUUAAAAUCCUACCACAGCCACAUAUACAUGCUUAUUAGACUAUGAACCAUACAUCUACUUUUUACUGCUUAUGAGCAUUGAGUGUGGUCAAGCUGUGUAGACCCUUAGGAGCUUGUCAUGCGGUUAAAAUCAAGAUUCACUUGCACGUUCACUCAUACAUGCUGCUUCUACUUCGGAAGUACGCAUCCACAUACAUCCACUCCUUUCCAUCUCUAGAUUCACCCAAAAUUAUUCUACUCCUAUCUAGGAGAGAAUAGCCAAAAACAUUAUCCUAUCCCUGUUAUUCCCCGCGAAAUAAAUGCUUGAGAUAUUUUGGUUACUACCACUUGCUACAUUAUUCCAGGAGGGUGAGUGCUCUAAAAAAAGAGAGAGAAAAAAAAGAGAAAAAUACGAGGAAAUAAAAAGAGGCAAGUGCCCGGAACCUCGAAAAAAAAGUGAGACAAGAGGUAAAAAUGGACAAGUGUCCGACAGUAGAAUUAGGGGUACAAGAUACCCACCAUAGAGAAAAGAAAAACAAAAUAUAGAGCAUCUCAUUCCCCUCAAAAAACUUCAAUGUGCAAGAAAGGUAUGUAUCCCCUAAAAAGAGCAAAACUAGAAUUAGACUUUCACCAUUGUUUUCAUCAUCAUCACCAUACACCAUUCAUUCGCCACACAUGCACAUCUUGAUUUGACUUAUUGACUUGUUUCUCUAGAUCCAUGGUUUGACUAUGCAAUAAAUAUCUUGUAAGUAUGUAUUAGCUGUCUCCCACCUAUGAGCUCUAGAUAUCAAAACCUUAUUAGAGUAGGGUGAGAGAGAAGGCAAUGUCACUAUGCCUCAUACCACAAAUACCACAUACUUUGAGAGAAGACAUAUAACAUCACUACCUUGGUAAGGAUCCAGAAAUACCAAAAAAGAGAGAGUUGAGAGAGUCAUACAAGAAAUCUCUGAGUUUUAUUUUGAAAAUCUACAAAAACUCUAGAACUAUAGUUGAUCAAAAAACAAGAGACAUGGCGCUUGACUUGACCAUUCUAUCUUUUAACUUCUCAAAACAUAAGUGACGGUUGCAAGCCCCAU